rnacentral:rRNA from 1 species
AGCGAACGCUGGCGGCAGGCCUAACACAUGCAAGUCGAACGGACCCUUCGGGGUUAGUGGCGGACGGGUGAGUAACACGUGGGAACGUGCCUUUAGGUUCGGAAUAGCUCCUGGAAACGGGUGGUAAUGCCGAAUGUGCCCUUCGGGGGAAAGAUUUAUCGCCUUUAGAGCGGCCCGCGUCUGAUUAGCUAGUUGGUGAGGUAAUGGCUCACCAAAGCGACGAUCAGUAGCUGGUCUGAGAGGAUGACCAGCCACAUUGGGACUGAGACACGGCCCAAACUCCUACGGGAGGCAGCAGUGGGGAAUCUUGCGCAAUGGGCGAAAGCCUGACGCAGCCAUGCCGCGUGAAUGAUGAAGGUCUUAGGAUUGUAAAAUUCUUUCACCGGGGACGAUAAUGACGGUACCCGGAGAAGAAGCCCCGGCUAACUUCGUGCCAGCCGCCGCCGCAGUAA